UCCCUGGUAGUAUAUCGGUUUAGUACACGCGCCUGUCAUCGAAAACAGGUAGUGUGCCCGCGCGCGAAAGCUGGGUUCGACUCCCAGCCAGGGAG